GACAGAGGUGCCGAGCGUUAGGCGGAAUCACUGGGCUUAAAGCGUGUGUAGGCGGGUCGUUAAGUGUCUUGUGAAAUCCCACCGCUCAACGGUGGAACUGCUGGGCAUACUGGCGAUCUUGAGCCACCUAGGGGCAGACGGAACAAGCGGUGGAGCGGUGAAAUGCGUAGAUAUCGCUUUGAACGCCGACGGUGAAAACAGUCUGCUGGGGGUGUGCUGACGCUGAGACACGAAAGCCAGGGGAGCGAACGGG
rnacentral:rRNA from 1 species